rnacentral:lncRNA from 1 species
AGUGUCUCUGGGGCAACGGGCCUCAUUCGGGGACAAGAGGCUAGGAAGCAAUGGAAGCUCUCCUGGGCAGGUCUGGGUGCCAGGGGCAGUCCCGGGCAGAAAAGGAGGCUCUUCCAGGGGCCCAUCUCCGGGGUGCCGGCCGCUUGCUCCCCGGGGGUACCCGCGGCCCUGACCUUCCCGAACCCUUGGCAGCCCCCACAGAGGAAGAGGACGGCACCCGCCGCCCCGCACAGCCCGGGGAAGCUUAAGGGCCAGAAAGUGGACCAUCCGGAGGCCGUCAGCGCGGGACCUGGACCCUGCCCACCCCCCGCCCGUCCUGCCCCCCAUCCUGCCCGGAUCCUGCGGGUGUGCCUGGACCCUGACCCCCCCAUCCUGGCCCCGAGCCUGCGGGUGUACCUGGACCCUGGGACCCGCCAUCCGGCCCCCCCAUCCUGGCCCGGGCCUGCGGGUGUACCUGGACCCUGGGACCCCCCAUCCUGCCCCCCCAUCCUGGCCCCGAGCCUGCGGGUGUACCUGGACCCUGCCCACCCCCCGCCCCGUCCUGCCCCCCAUCCUGCCCGGAGCCUGCGGGUGUACCUGGACCCUGACCCCCUCCCCCCCGCCCCAUCCUGGCCCCCAGCCUGCGGGUGUACCUGGACAUUGGGGCCCUCCAUCCUGCCCCCCCAUCCUGGCCCCGGGCCUGCGGGUGUACCUGGACCCUGCCCACCCCCCGCCCCGUCCUGCCCCCCAUCCUGCCCGGAGCCUGCGGGUGUACCUGGACCCUGCCCUCCACCCUGCCCCAUCCUGGCCCCGAGCCUGCGGGUGUACCUCGACCCUGGGGCCCCCCAUCCUGCCCCCCAUCCUGGCCCCGGGCCUGUGGCUGUGCGGACUCCGCAUCCCCGCAUCCCCGCUCCCCCCGCUCCCGCGCAGCCUUUCAGUGCCCCCCGCGCCCCCUGCGCGCAGCCCCGCCCCGCCCCCGCGCCCCACCUGAGGUCCCCUAACGAGGCUCCAGGGCUGUUUGGAGUUUCCAGAAACCGUCCCCGGAGCUUCCUUUGGGCCAGAAGCCCAGCGGGGCCAGGGCGGCGGCGGCCCGGGAGGCGCGGGAGCAAGGGCCUCGGGGCGCCCCGCGGGGCCCCCCCCGCCUCGGUGCUUGCGGCGUUAGGUCCCGUUCUGGGCGGAAGGGGGGCUGCCUGGACAUUUUUCCAAGAAAAAAACUGGGAAUCGUCCAGACCUCGAGCCCCCGCCCCCCGCACGUGGGAGCCCCGCGCCGCGGAGCUCGGAGCCGGGAGGGUCCCCAAGCGGGUCCCCGGGACUCGCGCGCCCGCCCCGUCCCCUCGCGGCCCCUGCCCAGGCCCCGGCCCGCCCGGAGGGAGCGCCCCCCCCACCCCCCGCCCCCGCCCCCGCGCUGGCCCCGGGUGCACGGACCCCCCCGGGCAGCGGGCGGAGGAGGUGCCGCGGCCCAGGCGCCCAGACCGCGGAGGCCCGAGCCCGCAGCGGGGGACGUGGCCGGGCGGGGGGGGGGGGGGCACGGCUCUGCUCGCGGACCCGGGGGGGAGGUCGGGGCCGGUCCCGGGGCGGCGGGGAGGCUCCUCCCGCUGGGCUGCGGGCGCCGGGCGCACGGAGGAGGCGCGGGGGGCGCGGGGCGCGGGGGGCGCGGGCGGGGGGCAGGGGGGCAGGGGGGCAGGGGGCAGGGGGCAGGGGGCCCCUACCUUGCAGGCGGGCGGACGGCGGCCGCGCGCCCCUGGCGGGGCGGCCGGGCGGAGAGUCAGGACGGAGGGAGGCGGCUGCAGGCGCGGUGGGCGGGCCGGCGUCCCCGCCGAGAGGACACUCCCAUCCCGCGGCUGCGGGGGGCGCCGGGGCCGGGGCCGGGGCCGGGGCGGGGGCGGGGGCGGGGGCGGGGGCUCGCGGCGGGGCCGGGCCGGGCCGGGCGCACGUGCGCUUGCUCCUUGCGGCGCUCCCUGGGGAGGGCGCGGUGAGCAGUGCCCCUCCUUGGGAGGCUCCGAGCGCCUUUCGGGAUUGCAGGGCUCGUGGGGUCCUCCGCGGUCUGGCGACGCUCCCCGGAGCCGCAGCCCGCGGACGCCGAGCCCGACCUCGCUCCCAUCCCGGGACCCCGGUGAGGGCAGCCCCGGGCGCGGGGCGAGUCAGGGCGGCGGCCCCUCCCCGCGACGGAGCCUCCACCUGUGA